rnacentral:rRNA from 1 species
GACAGAGGGUGCAAACGUUGUUCGGAAUUACUGGGCGUAAAGCGCGUGUAGGCGGCUAAGUAAGUCGGGCGUGAAAUCCCACGGCUCAACCGUGGAAGUGCACUCGAAACUGCAUAGCUAGAGUCCUGGAGAGGAAGGUGGAAUGCUUGGUGUAGAGGUGAAAUUCGUAGAUAUCAAGCGGAACACCGGUGGCGAAGGCGGCCUUCUGGGACAGUGACUGGACGCUGAGACGCGAAAGCG